CUCCCCACCCCCUUGCUCCAGUGUUCUUCCUGUCCCAACAGGGAUAGGAGGAGUUAGACAGCUCUCUCCUAGAAAGUUAGGUAGGGAACGGGGGCGAGUCUGGUCGGGGGGUUCCUACCUCUCCUCUUCAGACUCGGCAGGCCCCCGAACCAGCACCACUCUGGGAAGCGGUCCCCUGGUUAAGUCCCCGAUUCGCUCUCUGGCCGGCCGGAAUCGGGGACGCUGUUGCCGCUUCUCCCCAUCGGAGCUCUGGGCUCGGCUUCGGCUCCUGCCUCCUCUGACGUCAGUUCCUGGCCGCACUCACGUGACCGGAAGCCGGAAGUAAUGACGCUGAUCUGUGGAGCGACGCGGCGAGCAGCAUGCUGGAGACACGCCGAUCCGGUGGUCUCGCAUGUCCUGGGGGUUGACUCUUCCCUGGAAUGAGUCCCCCUGGGAAAGAAGUGGAGGCGGAGUCAGGCGGCGACGGGCGGACCGGUAAGUCACCUGAAUCUUAUUUAAGACGCCAGAUGGCAGCCUGCUAGGUUGCAUCAUGGAGGUCCAGGCGUCCAGCAAACUUGAAACUUGCUCAGACUCCCCCGUCCAGGCCCCUGUAAGUAAUACCUUGUACAGGGAUAGGUCUUUGGCUCAGCAGUUCCCUAAUGGCCUUAUCCCCCCCUUUCUCUUAGACUUCUAAGGAACCAGGGCACAGGCCUCAUGGGGAUCCCAAAAAGAAGGGCAGGAAAUGCCCGACCUGCCAAACAAAGCUGCUAGAGUCCUAUAAGAAGCAGCUAUGCCCAGAAUGUAUCUCCAAAAUUAUGAGGGACGAACGCACAUCCCUGCUUUCAGAUCUAAGGGAUAUUGUAAGAGAGGAGGUGCAGGCGGCAACCUCUAGCCAAACACCCCCUCCUCCUUCCCCCCCCUCCUCCAAAAAAGCCAGGAUCCAGUCAGGCUCUGACUCAGAGGAAGUAGGGUUAUGUGUCUCAGACAAUGACGACAUGGAGUCCCUCCAUCAGAAUGAGCAGAGAAGAUACUUCUUUUCGUCCGAGGACUUAGAUUCUCUGCUCACCGCCAUUAGACAGACCAUGGCUAUUGAGGAGGAGGAUCAGACUCGUUCGGUUGAGGACGAAAUGUUUAGGGGUCUUAAAGUCAGGAGAAAGAACGUCUUCCCAAUAAAUGAAAAUCUUAAAGAUCUCAUCACAGAGGAAUGGGCUGACGGCGAAAGGAAGCUCUUUAUUCCCAGGGAUUUUAAAAAUCGUCUACGGUUUGACCCAAAGGACACUAACCUCUGGGACGAGGUUCCCAAAGUUGAUAUCCAGGUGGCCAAGGUCGUGAAAAAAACCUCAAUACCCUUUGAGGAUUCGUCACAGCUAAGGGACCCCAUGGAUAGGAAGCUAGACGGCCUGUUGAAAAAAUCCUGGGAGUCAGGGGCAACCGCAAUUAAUACCAACAUUGCAGCUACUUCGGUUUCCAGAGCCUUAAUCUUGUGGAUUAAUCAACUGGAGAGUCACCUUAGGGCAAGAACAUCCAGGGAAGAAAUCCUAGAGUCUCUCCCGCUUCUAAAGAUGGCCUCUAGUUUCCUGGCGGACGCCUCAGCGGAGACCAUUAGAUUCGCAGCCAAGUCCCAGUCUCAGACUAACGCUGCUAGACGGGCCCUCUGGCUCAAGUCCUGGUCUGGAGACGUAGCGUCAAAGAACAGACUCUGCUCCAUUCCGUUCUCUGGCUCGUUUAUGUUCGGCCCAGUUCUGGACUCUAUUCUCCAGAAUGCGGCAGAUAACAAGAAGGGGUUCCCUGAGGAGAAGCCAAAAAAAACCCAGCCCUUUCGGAGGCCCUCAGGCCAAAAUCAGGCCAGGACCUAUAGAGGGAAAGGGAAAUCGGGCCGCUGGAGCUACCCCAAGGGUAGAGGCAGGGGUUUCCUCUUCAACCCCAACACCAAUACAGGGAAACCAUGACGCCAGACCAGUGGGAGGGAGACUUCGUCACUUUUGGGAAAGAUGGAAGAGAGUUACCUGCAAUCAAUGGAUCCUGGACUCCAUCAGGGACGGCUUCAGGAUAGAUUUCAGAACUCCUCCUCCCCAAGUGUUCCAGGUGACCUAUUUCGAAUCUCCUCUCCUCCAACAGCAACUAAGGUCACAUAUUCAAGACCUCCUGGCUCUGGGAGCUAUCACCCAGGUUCCUCCUCCCCAGCAGUUCACAGGCCAUUACUCAAGACUUUUCUUUGUAAAGAAGCCAGACGGGUCGAUGAGGACAAUCAUCAACUUAAAGUUUCUGAACAGGUGGGUGACGUACUACAGGUUCAAGAUGGAGUCAAUAAAAUCCUCCACUCCUCUGAUCCCUCCAGGUGCUCACCUUUGCACAUUGGACCUCAAGGAUGCGUAUUACCACAUCCCCAUACAUCCCCAACACCAUCAGUACUUAAGGUUUGCGGUCAGGUACGGAAAGGAGACCUCUCACUACCAGUUCCAGUGCCUGCCGUUCGGUAUCUCAUCUGCCCCCCGCCUAUUCACAAAGGUAGUAUCCGAAAUGAUGGCCUUCCUUCGCCAGAAUACAAUUACAAUCGUGCCCUACCUGGACGACUUCUUGCUGAUAGCAGACUCGGUUCAAAAAUUGAUGGGGGACAUCCACCAAACCUUAGCCCUAUUCAAGGACUUGGGGUGGAUCGUGAACUACCCGAAAUCCGACUUGAUACCGGACACAAGAAAGGAAUUCCUAGGCACUCUCCUGGAUACAAGAAUACAACACUCAUUUCUUCCAGAGAGAAAACAGACCAAUCUGAGACAAAAGAUAGAGUUGUUCAAAAAGAGGAAAACCCACUCGAUCAGGGAAGCCAUGCAGAUCCUGGGUCUGAUGACCUCCUGCAUCUCAAUAGUACCCUGGGCCCAAUUCCACUCCAGGACCCUCCAGAAUGCAGUUUUGACAGCUUGGAACAGAGACCACCGUUCUCUAAACUCCAGGAUGAAAAUAUCGGGAAAAGUGAUAAAAUCCCUGUCCUGGUGGACAGAACCAGGGAAUCUGGAGAAAGGAGUCCCGUGGAAUUUGACUCCAGCCAUAACCGUCACCACGGACGCGAGUCUGAAUGGCUGGGGGGGGGCACGUGGACCAGCAUCUCUUCCAGGGUUCCUGGGUCCUUCAAGACAGGAUAAGAUCCUCAAACUACCGGGAACUGAAGGCAGUGCUGAGGACUCUGACAGCAGCCAAACGUCUCCUCAAGGAUCAACAUGUCAGGAUCCUAUCCGACAACAUUACUACGGUAUGUUAUCUAAAAAGACAGGGCGGUACCAGAUGCCCGCUCCUUCAGGAUCUAGCAGAUCAAAUCUUCAUAUGGGCAGAAAGGGAGGUUCGGUCCAUUUCAGCAACCCAUCUAAAGGGGUCUCAGAACUCGAGAGCCGACUUCCUAAGCCGCCACAGGAUAGACGCGGGAGAAUGGAAUCUGAACAAACAGGUCUUCAGACAGGUCUGCCAGCUAUGGGGUUAUCCAGAAAUAGACCUCUUCGCAUCCAGGGGGAAUUCUCAACUGGACUGUUUUUACUCACUAAACCCCAGCGAAAACCCAGUGGCAGUAGACUCCUUAGCCCAGAAUUGGGACAUGAAACUGGCCUACGCUUUUCCUCCUUUUCCCCUAAUCCCGGCAGUCCUAAAGAAGAUGAGGACCAGUACCACCACUCUGAUCCUGGUCGCACCAGACUGGUCCAAGAGAGCUUGGUAUCCCAUCUUGAGGGAAAUGUCGAUCAAAGACCCGUACCCCCUUCCAGACAGGAAAGAUCUGUUAACGCAGGGACCUCUGGAGCAUCCCAAUCUCAACAAGCUGAGACUGACUGCUUGGAUCCUGAGAGGCAAACCCUGAGGAAGAAGGGUCUCUCCAAUCAGGAGGAGCGGUUCCACUGUCUUGAUGUAAGAAGAACGGUCCUCGCCUACAUCAAGCGGACAAAAUCCUGGAGAAAGUCAGCGAACCUCCUCAUCCAAUUCGGUGGUAGGAACAAGGGAAGCAAAGCCUCUAAAACCUCUUUAGCCCGCUGGAUCAAGGAGACCAUCAGGGAAUGUUAUAGACUGCAGAGUUCAUCCUGCCCCAUAACGUUGAGGGCUCAUUCCACCAGAGCCAUGUCCGCAACCUUGGCGGAGAAGGCUGGAGCUUCCAUCGACCAGAUCUGCAGAGCGGCAACCUGGUCCUCCUCCACUACCUUCGUCAGACACUACAGACUGGACUCUAUGGCCAAUCAGGACUUGGCUUUUGGCCGUAAGGUCCUACAAGCAGUGGUCCCCCCCUAAAUGGCGUUCUAAGUUGUUAGUUCUCCAUGGGUGCUGUCAUGGAGGACGUCCUGGAAACAUAUGUUUAGUUUACCGGUAAACUGCUUUCCAGGAGUCCGGAAUGACAGCACCCAAUACUACCCCCCCAUUUUCUGUUCCUUCCGGGACACUUUUUUGGUUGGUAUAUUUGUACUGCUACUGUAUACAGUGUGAAGUAACACUUGUUCUUGAAAUAAAGAUGUGGCAGCCUAUCCGGUGUAGUAAGUUAUAAACACUGGAGCAAGGGGGUGGGGAGGGGCCCUUUAAACUGUCUCUCUUCCUGUCCCAACAGAAACCAGUAAGGACAUCCUCCAUGGGUGCUGUCAUUCCGGACUCCUGGAAAGCAGUUUACCGCACUAAUAGAAAUGGAUUCCAAGAGAGCUCCCCAAGACAAGCUAACCUGCGUGUCUAGAGCUUGUAACUACCUCUACAAAUCCAUACACAACUCUAAGAAAGAGCCAGCCACAGCGGACGAUUUACUGUCUUGU